GAUGAACGCUGGCGGCGUGCCUAAUACAUGCAAGUCGAGCGAACAGACGAGGAGCUUGCUCCUCUGACGUUAGCGGCGGACGGGUGAGUAACACGUGGAUAACCUACCUAUAAGACUGGGAUAACUUCGGGAAACCGGAGCUACUACCGGAUAAUAUAUUGAACCGCAUGGUUCAAUAGUGAAAGACGGUUUUGCUGUCACUUAUAGAUGGAUCCGCGCCGCAUUAGCUAGUUGGUAAGGUAACGGCUUACCAAGGCAACGAUGCGUAGCCGACCUGAGAGGGUGAUCGGCCACACUGGAACUGAGACACGGUCCAGACUCCUACGGGAGGCAGCAGUAGGGAAUCUUGCGCAAUGGGCGAAAGCCUGACGGAGCAACGCCGCGUGAGUGAUGAAGGUCUUCGGAUCGUAAAACUCUGUUAUUAGGGAAGAACAAAUGUGUAAGUAACUAUGCACGUCUUGACGGUACCUAAUCAGAAAGCCACGGCUAACUACGUG
rnacentral:rRNA from 1 species